GUUUGACACGGGCCCACGGUCUCCAGUUUGGGGCCCACAUUCGGACGCGGCGCGAUGAC
rfam:Acidobacteria bacterium 13_1_40CM_4_65_8 13_1_40cm_4_scaffold_2260, whole genome shotgun sequence.